CUCCUCCUCCCGCUCUCCCUCCUCCUCCCCCUCUCCACGUGUAUCGGAGGAGCGGACAGCCAUCUCGGGAGAUUGUAAUAAAGGUCCCAGAAAUGUUAAGAGUGCUGAUCUCAAGACCUAUGUUAAUAAGCAGCAUUUGUCAGCCUCCCCCGCUUCUCCAACUUCUGAACAUUUAAAGAAGACUGAAGCUUACCUAACCUGGAAAAUCCAGGCAUGUUGACAUUAUGUGGAAUUGCAGGCUUAGCGUCACGUGAAGAGCAGAUGUGUUUGUCAUCAGGGAAGCACGUGGCACAGGAGGAUGCUACCUGAAUAGCCUUCCAAACACUAAGCUAGCUCUGACAAUGCAUGUGUCAACCUCAUCAUCUGUGUGUACAUCGCUGGAAAGUUCA